rnacentral:rRNA from 1 species
GUAGCUAACACAUGCAGUCGAACGGCAGCACAGAGGAGCUUGCUCCUUGGGUGGCGAGUGGCGGACGGGUGAGGAAUACAUCGGAAUCUACUCUGUCGUGGGGGAUAACGUAGGGAAACUUACGCUAAUACCGCAUACGACCUACGGGUGAAAGCAGGGGAUCUUCGGACCUUGCGCGAUUGAAUGAGCCGAUGUCGGAUUAGCUAGUUGGCGGGGUAAAGGCCCACCAAGGCGACGAUCCGUAGCUGGUCUGAGAGGAUGAUCAGCCACACUGGAACUGAGACACGGUCCAGACUCCUACGGGAGGCAGCAGUGGGGAAUAUUGGACAAUGGGCGCAAGCCUGAUCCAGCCAUACCGCGUGGGUGAAGAAGGCCUUCGGGUUGUAAAGCCCUUUUGUUGGGAAAGAAAUCCAGCCGGCUAAUACCUGGUUGGGAUGACGGUACCCAAAGAAUAAGCACCGGCUAACUUCGUGCCAGCAGCCGCGGUAAUACGAAGGGUGCAAGCGUUACUCGGAAUUACUGGGCGUAAAGCGUGCGUAGGUGGUCGUUUAAGUCCGUUGUGAAAGCCCUGGGCUCAACCUGGGAACUGCAGUGGAUACUGGGCGACUAGAGUGUGGUAGAGGGUAGCGGAAUUCCUGGUGUACCAGUGAAAUGCGUAAAGAUCAGGAGGAACAUCCCUGGCGAAGCAGCUACCUGGACCCACACUGACACUGAGGCACAAAAGCGUGGGGAGCAAACAGGAUUACAUACCCUGGGGAUCCACGCCCUAAACGAUCCGAACUGGAUGUUGUGGUGCAAUUUUGCCCCGCAGUAUCCAAGCUACGCGUUAAGUUCGUCCGCCUGGGGGAGUACGGUCGCAGACUGAAUUUCUUACGAGUGGAAGGGGGGCCCGCACCAUCGCUGAGUAUGUGCCUUGAAUUUCAUGCGAUAGCGAGGAGCCUACUGACUUGACAUGUCGGACAUUUCUUAGAUGGAUUGUGUCGUCGGGACUCGAAACAAAGCUGCAUGAGUGGUCGACUGCUGUCUGGAAGGUGAGUGUAUACCAGCGAGGCAAUCAUGACCUAGGCAGACGGGAUGGGAGCCUGAAUCACGUCAGUCGCA